rnacentral:rRNA from 1 species
GUGGGGAAUAUUGGACAAUGGGCGAAAGCCUGAUCCAGCCAUGCCGCGUGUGUGAAGAAGGUCUUCGGAUUGUAAAGCACUUUAAGUUGGGAGGAAGGGCAGUAAGUUAAUACCUUGCUGUUUUGACGUUACCGACAGAAUAAGCACCGGCUAACUUCGUGCCAGCAGCCGCGGUAAUACGAAGGGUGCAAGCGUUAAUCGGAAUUACUGGGCGUAAAGCGCGCGUAGGUGGUUCGUUAAGUUGGAUGUGAAAGCCCCGGGCUCAACCUGGGAACUGCAUCCAAAACUGGCGAGCUAGAGUACGGUAGAGGGUGGUGGAAUUUCCUGUGUAGCGGUGAAAUGCGUAGAUAUAGGAAGGAACACCAGUGGCGAAGGCGACUACCUGGACUGAUACUGACACUGAGGUGCGAAAGCGUGGGGAGCAAACAGGAUUAGAUACCCUAGUAGUCC